GGAGGAGUUGGACUUUUUUUUUUUUGAAAGUUGAGCAACACAAUGCACUUAAGUCAUUCCUUUCGAAGAAGAUUGUAUUUGCUGUUUUGCCGACUGGAUAUGGAUAUGGUCGUAGCGCUGGCCUAUUGCAUGCCUAGGCAGUUUGAAAGACAAUUCUCUGCCCACCCCUUGGAUUAAGCGAGGUGAAUGGUUAGAUUCCAGACUAUAAAUUUCAAUGAUAGGAUGGCCCGCCAGGCUAGUAAACGGGCUCUGUUUGAAUUCCGUGAUUCUUGAACACCGCUGGAAGAAGUCUUGGAAUGGAUUACACUCGUCUUGAAUUCGAUCUCACGAAACACAAGUGACUCAUCACACAGAGGGAGGUGGCUUGGCCAUGGAGACGGAAAUAAGAGCAAUAAGGACAACCAUUACCGUAUGGCACAGCGAAUGGACGCAUUUGAGGAGAAGUUGGAUGAGCUGCUCAUGCUCUUAAAGGAACUCCCAGUCACCUCCCUCUGCUCCAGUCGAUGACAUGUUGCUGUCGUCCUGCUCGACAGUCACUGAGCUGCAGGAGAGGAGGAACAAAAUGCCCUCCCUCCAGGAGACCAUCACCAAAGACUCCACAUAUCCUGCACACACACUCUUUAACUUCCUCCCCUCUGGCAGGCGCUACAGAUCCCUGCACACAAAAACAACCAGACACAAGAACAACUCUUUUCCCACUGCCGUCACUCUCCUGAACUGCAGAUAA